UGUGAUGAAAAAAACUACUUGAAUAAUCCAUGUGGGUUUAAAAUAUCGAGCUUUUUAACACUGAAAUAA